GAUGAACGCUGGCGGCGUGCCUAAUACAUGCUAGUCGAGCGAACGGACGAGAAGCUUGCUUCUCUGAUGUUAGCGGCGGACGGGUGAGUAACACGUGGAUAACCUACCUAUAAGACUGGGAUAACUUCGGGAAACCGGAGCUAAUACCGGAUAAUAUUUUGAACCGCAUGGUUCAAAAGUGAAAGACGGUCUUGCUGUCACUUAUAGAUGGAUCCGCGCUGCAUUAGCUAGUUGGUAAGGUAACGGCUUACCAAGGCAACGAUGCAUAGCCGACCUGAGAGGGUGAUCGGCCACACUGGAACUGAGACACGGUCCAGACUCCUACGGGAGGCAGCAGUAGGGAAUCUUCCGCAAUGGGCGAAAGCCUGACGGAGCAACGCCGCGUGAGUGAUGAAGGUCUUCGGAUUGUAAAACUCUGUUAUUAGGGAAGAACAUAUGUGUAAGUAACUGUGCACAUCUUGACGGUACCUAAUCAGAAAGCCACGGCUAACUACGUGCCAGCAGCCGCGGUAAUACGUAGGUGGCAAGCGUUAUCCGGAAUUAUUGGGCGUAAAGCGCGCGUAGGCGGUUUUUUAAGUCUGAUGUGAAAGCCCACGGCUCAACCGUGGAGGGUCAUUGGAAACUGGAAAACUUGAGUGCAGAAGAGGAAAGUGGAAUUCCAUGUGUAGCGGUGAAAUGCGCAGAGAUAUGGAGGAACACCAGUGGCGAAGGCGGCUUUCUGGUCUGUAACUGACGCUGAUGUGCGAAAGCGUGGGGAUCAAACAGGAUUAGAUACCCUGGUAGUCCACGCCGUAAACGAUGAGUGCUAAGUGUUAGGGGGUUUCCGCCCCUUAGUGCUGCAGCUAACGCAUUAAGCACUCCGCCUGGGGAGUACGACCGCAAGGUUGAAACUCAAAGGAAUUGACGGGGACCCGCACAAGCGGUGGAGCAUGUGGUUUAAUUCGAAGCAACGCGAAGAACCUUACCAAAUCUUGACAUCCUUUGACAACUCUAGAGAUAGAGCUUUCCCCUUCGGGGGACAAAGUGACAGGUGGUGCAUGGUUGUCGUCAGCUCGUGUCGUGAGAUGUUGGGUUAAGUCCCGCAACGAGCGCAACCCUUAAGCUUAGUUGCCAUCAUUAAGUUGGGCACUCUAAGUUGACUGCCGGUGACAAACCGGAGGAAGGUGGGGAUGACGUCAAAUCAUCAUGCCCCUUAUGAUUUGGGCUACACACGUGCUACAAUGGACAAUACAAAGGGCAGCGAAACCGUGAGGUCAAGCAAAUCCCAUAAAGUUGUUCUCAGUUCGGAUUGUAGUCUGCAACUCGACUACAUGAAGCUGGAAUCGCUAGUAAUCGUAGAUCAGCAUGCUACGGUGAAUACGUUCCCGGGUCU
rnacentral:rRNA from 1 species